rnacentral:tRNA from 1 species
GCCGAGAUAGCUCAGUUGGGAGGUAUGGGUAACCACACGAUUCGGAUGAAUCUCAAUUGAUAAAUAGUCUGCAGAGCGUACGCCUGAAGUAUCUAUCGUCAGCGUGAUGUCACUGGUUCGAUCCCGGUUCGCGGCA